CCUACGGGAGGCAGCAGUGGGGAAUAUUGCACAAUGGGGGAAACCCUGAUGCAGCGACGCCGCGUGAGUGAAGAAGUAAUUCGUUAUGUAAAGCUCUAUCAGCAGGGAAGAAAAUGACGGUACCUGAGUAAGAAGCCCCGGCUAACUACGUGCCAGCAGCCGCGGUAAUACGUAGGAGGCAAGCGUUAUCCGGAUUUACUGGGUGUAAAGGGGGCGUAGGCGGCUGUGCAAGUCUGGAGUGAAAGGCGGGGGCUCAACCCGCGGACUGCUCUGGAAACUGUACGGCUGGAGUGCAGGAGAGGUAGGUGGAAUGCCUGGUGUAGCGGUGAAAUGCGUAGAUAUUAGGAGGAACACCGGUGGCGAAGGCGGCUUACUGGACUGUAACUGACGUUGAUGCUCGAAAGCGUGGGGAGCAAACAGGAUUAGAUACCCCGGUAGUC
rnacentral:rRNA from 1 species